rnacentral:rRNA from 1 species
GACGAAACGCUGGCGGGCGUGCCUAAUACAUGCAAGUCGGGCGAGCUUGCCUAGAUGAAUUUGGUGCUUGCACCAAAUGAAACUAGAUACAAGCGAGCGGCGGACGGGUGAGUAACACGUGGGUAACCUGCCCAAGAGACUGGGAUAACACCUGGAAACAGAUGCUAAUACCGGAUAACAACACUAGACGCAUGUCUAGAGUUUAAAAGAUGGUUCUGCUAUCACUCUUGGAUGGACCUGCGGUGCAUUAGCUAGUUGGUAAGGUAACGGCUUACCAAGGCAAUGAUGCAUAGCCGAGUUGAGAGACUGAUCGGCCACAUUGGGACUGAGACACGGCCCAAACUCCUACGGGAGGCAGCAGUAGGGAAUCUUCCACAAUGGACGCAAGUCUGAUGGAGCAACGCCGCGUGAGUGAAGAAGGGUUUCGGCUCGUAAAGCUCUGUUGGUAGUGAAGAAAGAUAGAGGUAGUAACUGGCCUUUAUUUGACGGUAAUUACUUAGAAAGUCACGGCUAACUACGUGCCAGCAGCCGCGGUAAUACGUAGGUGGCAAGCGUUGUCCGGAUUUAUUGGGCGUAAAGCGAGUGCAGGCGGUUCAAUAAGUCUGAUGUGAAAGCCUUCGGCUCAACCGGAGAAUUGCAUCAGAAACUGUUGAACUUGAGUGCAGAAGAGGAGAGUGGAACUCCAUGUGUAGCGGUGGAAUGCGUAGAUAUAUGGAAGAACACCAGUGGCGAAGGCGGCUCUCUGGUCUGCAACUGACGCUGAGGCUCGAAAGCAUGGGUAGCGAACAGG